rnacentral:rRNA from 1 species
UACGUAGGUGACAAGCGUUGUCCGGAUUUACUGGGCGUAAAGAGCGCGCAGGCGGUCGUUCAAGUCGAGUGUGAAAGCCCCCGGCUCAACUGGGGAGGGUCAUUCGAUACUGAUCGACUCGAAGGCAGGAGAGGGAAGUGGAAUUCCCGGUGUAGUGGUGAAAUGCGCAGAUAUCGGGAGGAACACCUAUGGCGAAGGCAGCUCGCUGGGACGUUACUGACGCUGUGACGCGAAAGCGUGGGGAGCAAACAGG